AUUGAACGCUGGCGGCAUGCCUUACACAUGCAAGUCGAACGGCAGCACGGGAGCAAUCCUGGUGGCGAGUGGCGAACGGGUGAGUAAUAUAUCGGAACGUGCCCAGUCGUGGGGACAACGUAGCGAAAGCUACGCUAAUACCGCAUACGAUCUAUGGAUGAAAGCGGGGGAUCGCAAGACCUCGCGCAAUUGGAGCGGCCGAUAUCAGAUUAGGUAGUUGGUGAGGUAAAGGCUCACCAAGCCGACGAUCUGUAGCUGGUCUGAGAGGACGACCAGCCACACUGGAACUGAGACACGGUCCAGACUCCUACGGGAGGCAGCAGUGGGAAUUUUGGACAAUGGGCGAAAGCCUGAUCCAGCAAUGCCGCGUGAGUG
rnacentral:rRNA from 1 species